rnacentral:rRNA from 1 species
UACGUAGGGACCGAGCGUUGUCCGGAAUCAUUGGGCGUAAAGAGCGUGUAGGCGGCCUUUUAAGUCCUGCGUGAAAUCCUGCGGCUCAACCGCAGACGGUCGUGGGAAACUGGAAGGCUAGAGUGCGGGAGAGGAGCGUGGAAUUCCCAGUGUAGAGGUGAAAUUCGUAGAUAUUGGGAAGAACACCGGUGGCGAAGGCGGCGCUCUGGACCGAGACUGACGCUGAGGCGCGAAAGCGUGGGGAGCAAACAGG